GGCACAAACUUGAAGUAAAAUAGUUGGGCAUGGUAAGUUGAUCCCACUAAUCUAUUCUACUUCAAGUUUGUGCUC
rnacentral:pre_miRNA from 1 species